UCGAGAAUUUUUCACAAUGGGGGAAACCCUGAUGGAGCGACGCCGCGUGGGGGAUGAAUGGCUUCGGCCCGUAAACCCCUGUCAUUUGCGAACAAUGCUUUGGUAUGAACAAUAUCAAAGUUGAUAGUAGCAGAAGAGGAAGAGACGGCUAACUCUGUGCCAGCAGCCGCGGUAAUACAGAGGUCUCAAGCGUUGUUCGGAUUCACUGGGCGUAAAGGGUGCGUAGGCGGUCAGGUAAGUCUAAAGUGAAAGCUCCGGGCUUAACCCGGAAAUGGCUUUGGAUACUAUCUGGCUAGAGGGCCGGAGAGGGGACUGGAAUUCUCGGUGUAGCAGUGAAAUGCGUAGAUAUCGAGAGGAACACCAGUGGCGAAAGCGAGUCCCUGGACGGCAUCUGACGCUGAGGCACGAAAGCCAGGGUAGCAAACGGG
rnacentral:rRNA from 1 species